rnacentral:rRNA from 1 species
GGAAUCUUGGGCAAUGGGCGCAAGCCUGACCCAGCCAUGCCGCGUGUGUGAAGAAGGCCUUCGGGUUGUAAAGCACUUUCAGUAGAGAAGAAAAGCCUAAGGCUAAUAACCUUGAGUCUUGACGUAACCUACAGAAGAAGCACCGGCUAACUCCGUGCCAGCAGCCGCGGUAAUACGGAGGGUGCAAGCGUUAAUCGGAAUUACUGGGCGUAAAGCGCGCGUAGGUGGUUUUGUAAGUCGGAUGUGAAAGCCCUGGGCUCAACCUGGGAAUUGCAUUCGAUACUGCUUAACUAGAGUAUGGUAGAGGGAAGUGGAAUUUCCGGUGUAGCGGUGAAAUGCGUAGAUAUCGGAAGGAACACCAGUGGCGAAGGCGACUUCCUGGGCUAAUACUGACACUGAGGUGCGAAAGCGUGGGUAGCAAAC